rnacentral:rRNA from 1 species
CCCUUAGAUGUUCUGGGCUGCACGCGCGCUACACUGAUGCACUCAACGAGUUUACGACCUUGCCCGAUAGGGUUGGGUAAUCUUUUUAAAAUGCAUCGUGAUGGGGAUAGAUUAUUGCAAUUAUUAAUCUUCAACGAGGAAUUCCUAGUAAGCGCGAGUCAUCAGCUCGUGCUGAUUACGUCCCUGCCCUUUGUACACACCGCCCGUCGCUCCUACCGAUUGAGUGCUCAGGUGAAUAAUUCGGACUGCAGCAAUGUUUGGAUCCCGAGCGUUGCAGCGGAAAGUUUAGUGAACCUUAUCACUUAGAGGAAGGAGAAGUCGUAACA